rnacentral:rRNA from 1 species
GUGAACGCUGGCGGUAGGCCUAACACCUGCAAGUCGAACGGCAGCACAGUAAGAGCUUGCUCUUACGGGUGGCGAGUGGCGGACGGGUGAGGAAUACAUCGGAAUCUACUUUUUCGUGGGGGAUAACGUAGGGAAACUUACGCUAAUACCGCAUACGACCUACGGGUGAAAGCAGGGGAUCUUCGGACCUUGCGCGAUUGAAUGAGCCGAUGUCGGAUUAGCUAGUUGGCGGGGUAAAGGCCCACCAAGGCGACGAUCCGUAGCUGGUCUGAGAGGAUGAUCAGCCACACUGGAACUGAGACACGGUCCAGACUCCUACGGGAGGCAGCAGUGGGGAAUAUUGGACAAUGGGCGCAAGCCUGAUCCAGCCAUACCGCGUGGGUGAAGAAGGCCUUCGGGUUGUAAAGCCCUUUUGUUGGGAAAGAGAAGCAGCAGGUUAAUACCCCGCUGUUCUGACGGUUCCCAAAGAAUAAGCACCGGCUAACUUCGUG